rnacentral:misc_RNA from 1 species
AGACUUGCUGCUGCAGCAAGUCUAACUUCCCAAGUGGCAAUUGCGCGUUCCAUGCCAUAAAUCAUGUGUAUGGGUGCCCAUUCAUCCAUGUCAUCACCCCAUAUGAAAGUGUCCUUAUCAAUUAUACCAGCACCCCAUGCAGUUUUAAGUUGUAUUAGCUCCAUUGGUCCUCGUGUCCGGCCCAAGCGAUCCUUGUAGUAAAACCCUCCACUUUUCAUGAUAAAGUCAUAGUAUCGCUUCUCCAGCCGCUUGUAGCCAAUAGCUUGAGCAACAUCAAUUGGUCGGCUAGAUGGGUAGGGCCUCUGUCUAAACCCCCAAAGCCCAAAAAAGAACUGCCUUGCAAAAUCCCAAAACUUAUCGUCACUCUCUUGCUUCGUAUGUAUCGCCUUUCUCGGCAUAGGCCGUCCGUCCGGCCCAAUGACGUGAGGCACUGCUUGCCACAUCUUCCUGUCCUCCCACCGGUAGGGAAGCUGGUUGGCUUUCAGCUCCAUUUCGUUCAUCUUAUCGGCAAUUUCCUCAGCUCGGGCCAAAAACUUAACCACCGGAUUGGACGUAAACUCCUCCCACCAUUUCUCAUUUUCUUUGAUUUCUUCUUCAGUUGGGUUUUCUUUUUUCUCUAAAAAUGGGUGUUCGUUGAGGAUCUUCUCAACUUCAGGAGCGUGACGGUAGUCGGGUUGGUUUUCGUCCUCCCAGAAGUACUGGUCCAGCAUUUGCUGCCAGUAACCCGGCUGUUUGGACUCUGGUUCGGGUUUCUUGGGUUUGUUAAAUGGAUUUGACACGCCAAUAGAAGCGAAGUUAGUGGUGUGACAGGAUUUAGUGGAUAGAGAGCGGAUAAACGGAAGAAGGUUGAUAGGAGGAAGUGGGUUCGGGGGCUUAUUGAACCAGUUGUCGAAGAAAUUGAAAUUGAUAGAUGCCAUUUGUACAAGAUUGAAAGAUUAGGGUACAAGGUUU